AUGUCAAUUCUAUCGCAGAUGCACCUCCGACCGGCCUGGAGAAACCCGAGGGGUCUGAGCUUUAACCCGAUAGGGGAGAACACGUUUGUUGCAAACUUGGAGAAUCAACGAGAUCGAGAUCACAUCUAUGGAGGUGGACCGUGGAUGGUUGGGAAACAUGCAGUGAUCUUGGAGCUGUUUGAUUUUAGAGCUCGGCCAUCGGACUGGAAGUUUGAGAAGCUUCAGAUAUGGGCUAGGGUAAUCAACCUGCCCUUCAAUCUCCGAUACCCGCCAUGGCCGGAGCGAAUUGCAGGGAUGAUGGGAGAGGUAAUCAAGCUGGAUGUGGACUCAAAGGGUUUUGCGUUUGGCGAGUCCCUUAGAGCACGAAUAUGGAUAAGAGUGCAGGAGGCCCUAAUGAGAUGGGUGCAGUUAGAAUCGGCAAGGACAAAGGAAUCCAUCUUGUAUGAUAUUCAGUAUGAAGGACUGCCAUAUUUUGGUUUCUUGUGUGGCCGGUUGGGUCAUGCAGAUGCUUUUUGCCUGGACCUAGGGGAACGGGAUGAUGAUGGAUGCUUGCCAUAUGGGGAGAAGCUUAGAUGGGCUGGAUCCCGCAAGAACUGGGCGAAUGCACCCCCAAUGAGCAGUAAUGGAGGAAGGUAG
rnacentral:rRNA from 1 species